GUCCACGCCCUAAACGAUGUGUGCUAGUUGUCGGGCCCUUAGGGUUCGGUGACGCAGCUAACGCUUUAAGCACACCGCCUGGGGAGUACGGUCGCAAGAUUAAAACUCAAAGGAAUUGACGGGGCCCGCACAAGCGGUGGAGCAUGUGGUUUAAUUCGACGCAACGCGAAGAACCUUAUCUACUCUUGACAUCUACGGAAGUUUGCAGAGAUGCAGACGUGCCUUGGGAACCGUAAGACAGGUGCUGCAUGGCUGUCGU
rnacentral:rRNA from 1 species